rnacentral:rRNA from 1 species
CACGUAGGUGGCAAGCGUUGUCCGGAUUUACUGGGCGUAAAGAGCGCGCAGGCGGUCAGAUAAGUCGAAUGUGAAAGCCCCUGGCUCAACUGGGGAGGGUCAUUCGAUACUGUUCGACUCGAAGGCAGGAGAGGGAAGUGGAAUUCCCGGUGUAGUGGUGAAAUGCGUAGAUAUCGGGAGGAACACCAGUGGCGAAGGCGACUUCCUGGCCUGUUCUUGACGCUGAGGCGCGAAAGCUAGGGGAGCAAACGGG